rnacentral:lncRNA from 1 species
CGUUUUCCUUUUCCACUUUGAGUCCUUCAUGUACCCAUGGGUUUAUUGGCUUACAUGUUAUCAAUUUUUCUCCAAUCAAGCCAAUCUUUGCUGCCACAAGACAUUUCUCUAACUCACUAACUCAUUUCAAAGACUACUCAAGCCAAGAACAAGAAUUCUUACCGUUCCUUGCUUGAAUCACCAAAACCAAGCUUUUUUCUUCCUUUCUCUCUUUUUCUUUCUCCUCCUCCUAGGGUUUAGAUGUGCUGGAAAUUGGGGUUAAAGGCUGUAAAUUUAGUGCUCAAGACGUUCGGAGAAGAAAGGAAAAGAAAACAUGGAAAGGAAAAUGAAGAAAACUUGGUUUCAUGGUGGACAAAGAGAAAAUGGCAUGGAAGCUUCAAGAAUGGUGUGAAGCAUGGAGGAGAAGAG